rnacentral:rRNA from 1 species
UUAAGCGACUAAGCGUACACGGUGGAUGCCCUGGCAGUCAGAGGCGAUGAAGGACGUGCUAAUCUGCGAAAAGCGUCGGUAAGGUGAUAUGAACCGUUAUAACCGGCGAUGUCCGAAUGGGGAAACCCAGUGUGAUUCGUCACACUAUCGUUAACUGAAUACAUAGGUUAACGAGGCGAACCGGGGGAACUGAAACAUCUAAGUACCCCGAGGAAAAGAAAUCAACCGAGAUUCCCCCAGUAGCGGCGAGCGAACGGGGAGCAGCCCAGAGUCUGAAUCAGCUUGUGUGUUAGUGGAACGGUCUGGAAAGUCCGACGGUACAGGGUGAUAGUCCCGUACACCAAAAUGCACAGGCUGUGAACUCGAAGAGUAGGGCGGGACACGUGGUAUCCUGUCUGAAUAUGGGGGGACCAUCCUCCAAGGCUAAAUACUCCUGACUGACCGAUAGUGAACCAGUACCGUGAGGGAAAGGCGAAAAGAACCCCGGCGAGGGGAGUGAAAAAGAACCUGAAACCGUGUACGUACAAGCAGUGGGAGCACCUUCGGGUGUGACUGCGUACCUUUUGUAUAAUGGGUCAGCGACUUAUAUUCUGUAGCAAGGUUAACCGUAUAGGGGAGCCGCAGGGAAACCGAGUCUUAACUGGGCGUUAAGUUGCAGGGUAUAGACCCGAAACCCGGUGAUCUAGCCAUGGGCAGGUUGAAGGUUGGGUAACACUAACUGGAGGACCGAACCGACUAAUGUUGAAAAAUUAGCGGAUGACUUGUGGCUGGGGGUGAAAGGCCAAUCAAACCGGGAGAUAGCUGGUUCUCCCCGAAAGCUAUUUAGGUAGCGCCUCGUGAACUCAUCUUCGGGGGUAGAGCACUGUUUCGGCUAGGGGGUCAUCCCGACUUACCAACCCGAUGCAAACUACGAAUACCGAAGAAUGUUAUCACGGGAGACACACGGCGGGUGCUAACGUCCGUCGUGAAGAGGGAAACAACCCAGACCGCCAGCUAAGGUCCCAAAGUCAUGGUUAAGUGGGAAACGAUGUGGGAAGGCACAGACAGCCAGGAUGUUGGCUUAGAAGCAGCCAUCAUUUAAAGAAAGCGUAAUAGCUCACUGGUCGAGUCGGCCUGCGCGGAAGAUGUAACGGGGCUAAACCAUGCACCGAAGCUGCGGCAGCGACACUAUGUGUUGUUGGGUAGGGGAGCGUUCUGUAAGCCUGCGAAGGUGGCCUGUGAGGGUUGCUGGAGGUAUCAGAAGUGCGAAUGCUGACAUAAGUAACGAUAAAGCGGGUGAAAAGCCCGCUCGCCGGAAGACCAAGGGUUCCUGUCCAACGUUAAUCGGGGCAGGGUGAGUCGACCCCUAAGGCGAGGCCGAAAGGCGUAGUCGAUGGGAAACAGGUUAAUAUUCCUGUACUUGGUGUUACUGCGAAGGGGGGACGGAGAAGGCUAUGUUAGCCGGGCGACGGUUGUCCCGGUUUAAGCAUGUAGGCUGGUUGUCCAGGCAAAUCCGGAUAAUCAAGGCUGAGGUGUGAUGACGAGGCACUACGGUGCUGAAGUAACAAAUGCCCUGCUUCCAGGAAAAGCCUCUAAGCAUCAGGUAACAUUAAAUCGUACCCCAAACCGACACAGGUGGUCAGGUAGAGAAUACCAAGGCGCUUGAGAGAACUCGGGUGAAGGAACUAGGCAAAAUGGUGCCGUAACUUCGGGAGAAGGCACGCUGGUGUGUAGGUGAAGUCCCUGCGGAUGGAGCUGAGACCAGUCGAAGAUACCAGCUGGCUGCAACUGUUUAUUAAAAACACAGCACUGUGCAAACACGAAAGUGGACGUAUACGGUGUGACGCCUGCCCGGUGCCGGAAGGUUAAUUGAUGGGGUUAUCCGUAAGGAGAAGCUCUUGAUCGAAGCCCCGGUAAACGGCGGCCGUAACUAUAACGGUCCUAAGGUAGCGAAAUUCCUUGUCGGGUAAGUUCCGACCUGCACGAAUGGCGUAAUGAUGGCCAGGCUGUCUCCACCCGAGACUCAGUGAAAUUGAACUCGCUGUGAAGAUGCAGUGUACCCGCGGCAAGACGGAAAGACCCCGUGAACCUUUACUAUAGCUUGACACUGAACAUUGAGCCUUGAUGUGUAGGAUAGGUGGGAGGCUUUGAAGCGUGGACGCCAGUCUGCGUGGAGCCAACCUUGAAAUACCACCCUUUAAUGUUUGAUGUUCUAACGUUGGCCCCUUACCGGGGUUGCGGACAGUGUCUGGUGGGUAGUUUGACUGGGGCGGUCUCCUCCCAAAGCGUAACGGAGGAGCACGAAGGUUAGCUAAUCCUGGUCGGACAUCAGGAGGUUAGUGCAAUGGCAUAAGCUAGCUUGACUGCGAGCGUGACGGCGCGAGCAGGUGCGAAAGCAGGUCAUAGUGAUCCGGUGGUUCUGAAUGGAAGGGCCAUCGCUCAACGGAUAAAAGGUACUCCGGGGAUAACAGGCUGAUACCGCCCAAGAGUUCAUAUCGACGGCGGUGUUUGGCACCUCGAUGUCGGCUCAUCACAUCCUGGGGCUGAAGUAGGUCCCAAGGGUAUGGCUGUUCGCCAUUUAAAGUGGUACGCGAGCUGGGUUUAGAACGUCGUGAGACAGUUCGGUCCCUAUCUGCCGUGGGCGCUGGAGAAUUGAGGGGGGCUGCUCCUAGUACGAGAGGACCGGAGUGGACGCAUCACUGGUGUUCGGGUUGUCAUGCCAAUGGCACUGCCCGGUAGCUAAAUGCGGAAGAGAUAAGUGCUGAAAGCAUCUAAGCACGAAACUUGCCCCGAGAUGAGUUCUCCCUGAGACUUUAAGUCUCCUGAAGGAACGUUAAAGACGAUGACGUUGAUAGGCCGGGUGUGUAAGCGCAGCGAUGCGUUGAGCUAACCGGUACUAAUGAACCGUGAGGCUUAACCUU